rnacentral:rRNA from 1 species
CUAACGAGGAUUCCCCUAGUAACGGCGAGUGAAGCGGGAAGAGCUCAAAUUUGAAAUCUGACGGUCUAUUGGCCGUCCGAGUUGUAGUCUGGAGAAGCGUUUUCUACCUCGGACCGUGUACAAGUCCCUUGGAACAGGGCGUCGCAGAGGGUGAGAAUCCCGUCUUUGACACGGACUGCCGAUGGUUAUACGAUGCGCUCUCAAAGAGUCGAGUUGUUUGGGAAUGCAGCUCAAAACGGGUGGUAAAUUCCAUCUAAAGCUAAAUAUUGGCGAAAGACCGAUAGCGAACAAGUACCGUGAGGGAAAGAUGAAAAGCACUUUGGAAAGAGAGUUAAACAGUACGUGAAAUUGUUGAAAGGGAAACGCUUGAAGUCAGUCGCGUCUUCCGGGACUCAGCCCUUGCUUUUUUUAGCUGGGUGUAUUUCCUGGGACGACGGGCCAGCGUCGAUUUCGACCGUCGGAGAAAGGCCUUGGGAACGUGGCACCUGUUUUUGGGUGUGUUAUAGCCCUCGGUCGCAUGCGACGGUUGGGAUCGAGGAUCGCAGCACGCCUUUUUGGCCGGGGUUCGCCCACGUAACGUGCUUAGGAUGCUGGCGUAAUGGCUU